UGGCGACCGGCGCACGGGUGAGUAACGCGUAUGCAACCUGCCCGAUACCGGGGUAUAGCCCAUGGAAACGUGGAUUAACACCCCAUAGUACUUUUAUCCUGCAUGGGAUGUGAGUUAAAUGUUCAAGGUAUCGGAUGGGCAUGCGUCCUAUUAGUUAGUUGGCGGGGUAACAGCCCACCAAGACGAUGAUAGGUAGGGGUUCUGAGAGGAAGGUCCCCCACAUUGGAACUGAGACACGGUCCAA
rnacentral:rRNA from 1 species